GAAUCGCUAGUAAUCGUGGAUCAGAAUGUCACGGUGAAUACGUUCCCGGGCCUUGUACACACCGCCCGUCACACCAUGGGAGUGGACUGCACCAGAAGUGGUUAGCCUAACUUCGGAGGGCGAUCACCACGGUGUGGUUCAUGACUGGGGUGAAGUCGUAACAAGGUAGCCGUAGGGGAACCUGCGGCUGGACCACCUCCUUAA
rnacentral:rRNA from 1 species